rnacentral:rRNA from 1 species
AUUGAACGCUGGCGGCAGGCCUAACACAUGCAAGUCGAACGAGUGGCGGACGGGUGAGUAAUGUCUGGGAAACUGCCCGAUGGAGGGGGAUAACUACUGGAAACGGUAGCUAAUACCGCAUACCAUCGGAUUUGCCCAGAUGGGAUUAGCUAGUAGGUGGGGUAAUGGCUCACCUAGGCGACGAUCCCUAGCUGGUCUGAGAGGAUGACCAGCCACCAUGGAACUGAGACACGGUCCAGACUCCUACGUGAGGCAGCAGUGGGGAAUUUUGGACAAUGGGAGAAACCCUGAUCCAGCCAUCACGCGUGUGCGAUGAAGGCCUUCGGGUUGUAAAGCACUUCUGGCAGGAAAGCGGUACCUGCUGAAUAAGCACCGGCUAACUACGUGCCAGCAGCCGCGGUAAUUC